rnacentral:tRNA from 1 species
GGGGAUUUAGCUCAUUGGUAGAGCGCUUGCCUAGCAAGUACAAGGCCCUGGGUUCGGUCCCCAGCUCCG